rnacentral:rRNA from 1 species
UACGUAGGGUGCAAGCGUUGUCCGGAAUUAUUGGCGUAAAGAGCUCGUAGGCGGUCUGUUGCGUCGGCUGUGAAAACCCGGGGCUCAACCCCGGGCCUGCAGCCGAUACGGGCAGACUAGAGUUCGGCAGGGGAGACUGGAAUUCCUGGUGUAGCGGUGAAAUGCGCAGAUAUCAGGAGGAACACCGGUGGCGAAGGCGGGUCUCUGGGCAUUACCUGACGCUGAGGAGCGAAAGUGUGGGGAGCGAACAGG